rnacentral:rRNA from 1 species
UACGGAGGGUGCGAGCGUUGUCCGGAAUCACUGGGCGUAAAGGGCGCGUAGGCGGCAUGCCAAGCGUGUGGUGAAGCCCGGGGCUCAACCCCGGAUCUGCCGUGCCGACUGGUCAGACGUCGAGGACUGUAGAGGCAGGCGGAAUUCCGGGUGUAGCGGUGGAAUGCGUAGAGAUCAGGAGGAACACCGGUGGCGAAGGCGGGUCUCUGGGCCGAUACUGACGCUGGAGGAGCGAAAGCGUGGGGAGCGAACAGG